CAGCCGCCGCGGUAAUACAGAGGGUGCGAGCGUUAAUCGGAUUUACUGGGCGUAAAGCGUGCGUAGGCGGCUUCUUAAGUCGGAUGUGAAAUCCCUGAGCUUAACUUAGGAAUUGCAUUCGAUACUGGGAAGCUAGAGUAUGGUAGAGGGUGGUGGAAUUUCCUGUGUAGCGGUGAAAUGCGUAGAUAUAGGAAGGAACACCAGUGGCGAAGGCGACCACCUGGACUGAUACUGACACUGAGGUGCGAAAGCGUGGGGAGCAAACAGGAUUAGAUACCCCAGUAGUCCCUGUCUCUUAUAU
rnacentral:rRNA from 1 species